GUGGAUCUUGUGAGCUGGGUUGCCUUGCUGUGGUGCUUUCGGGCUCGCUAACUAUGUUAUCACACAGUUUUGCAACCAAAUCGCCACUAGAAGUCACUGUGUUCUGUUGACAUGCAGAGUCUGCACAAAGUUUAUCGUCUCCAGUUGUAGAACGAAUGGCUGGAAUCACCACAGAAUUCUGAUCUACUGGAGCAUCGGCACUCUCCUCAUGACUUCGUGAAGUUUCCAUUUCUGCUGUUUUUUCAGUGGCGGUUUCUUCAUUACUAAAUGCAAGUGAAGACUCAGCAGGUUUGUUACCAUCCAGGGAACUGGCGGCAGGGGCACAGUUUGGAACACUGAUUUUAUCCACAGGCUUAUUUGUGACAUGCACGUCAGAGGCUCCAGCUGUGCCAAUAUUAGAGUUCUCAAAUCUUUCCUUUGUACUUUCCCCUCCUUGAAGCACAUUCUUCCUAACAGUGGCAUCUGGGUUCAUGAGCCCAUGUUCCAUUUCCCCUGCAGUCUCUGGGGUACUGACAUUUGUUGUUGAAAUGCCUCCCAGUUCACCUCCAGAGGAAUACUGGGCUGUGCCUGUCUCCAUGACCAAGUCUCUCGGAAGCACAGCAUCUCCACUGCUCAGGGACUCCUGGUCUGUGGGCAUUCCAGAAGAUUUUGUUCUAGUUUCUUCAUUUCUGUUUCCACAGGACGAAAGGCCUUCCGUGCCCUUUACUCCACAAUCAGGCAAGCUCUGAAGGCAGCUGUCUUGAUCAGAUACAGUUCCAGAGUCCACAAUAGGUGCUGGCUCCACCUCUUCCCCUUUUCUUUCCACGCCUUUAUUUUUCUUCCUACAGGAAUGGUCUGUAUUCUCCUCAACUAUGCUUGACAAAUCACAGGGACUUUCAGUCUGUGCAACAGGGCUCCCUAGACAGCACUGAGUGCUCUCGGUCUUUUCAGAAGAAGAAAGUCGCUGAGGG
rnacentral:antisense_RNA from 1 species